UUGAGAUAGGUACUAGUGUGGACUAG
rnacentral:piRNA from 1 species